GACGAACGCUGGCGGCGUGCUUAACACAUGCAAGUCGAACGGAAAGGCCCUGCUUUUGUGGGGUGCUCGAGUGGCGAACGGGUGAGUAACACGUGAGUAACCUGCCCUUGACUUUAGGAUAACUUCAGGAAACUGGGGCUAAUACCGGAUAGGAGCUCCUGCUGCAUGGUGGGGGUUGGAAAGUUUCGGCGGUUGGGGAUGGACUCGCGGCUUAUCAGCUUGUUGGUGGGGUAGUGGCUUACCAAGGCUUUGACGGGUAGCCGGCCUGAGAGGGUGACCGGCCACAUUGGGACUGAGAUACGGCACAGACUCCUACGGGAGGCAGCAGUGGGGAAUAUUGCACAAUGGGCGGAAGCCUGAUGCAGCAACGCUGCGUGCGGGAUGACGGCCUUCGGGUUGUAAACCGCUUUCGCCUGUGACGAAGCGUGAGUGACGGUAAUGGGUAAAGAAGCACCGGCUAACUACGUG
rnacentral:rRNA from 1 species